rnacentral:rRNA from 1 species
CCUACGGGGGCAGCAGUGAGGAAUAUUGGUCAACGGGCGCGAGCCUGAACCAGCCAAGUAGCGUGAAGGAUGACUGCCCUACGGGUUGUAAACUACUUUUAUAAAGGAAUAAAGUGAGGCACGUGUGCCUUUUUGUAUGUACUUUAUGAAUAAGGAUCGGCUAACUCCGUGCCAGCAGCCGCGGUAAGACGGAGGAUCCGAGCGUUAUCCUGAUUUAUUGUUUUUAAAGGGAGCGUAGAUGGGUGGUUAAGUCAGUUGUGAAAGUUUGCGGCUCAACCGUAAACUUGCAAUUGAUACUGGCAGUCUUGAGUACAGUUGAGGUAGGCGGAAUUCGUGGUGUAGCAGUGAAAUGCGUAGAGAUCUCGAAGAACACCGAUGGCGAAGGCAGCUUUCUAAACUGCCACUGACAUUGAUGCGCGAAAGUGUGGGUAGCAAACAGGAUUAGAUACCCGAGUAGUC